GACGUAGGGUCCAAGCGUUGUCCGGAUUUACUGGGCGUAAAGAGCGCGUAGGCGGCCUGUUAAGUGUGAAGUGAAAUCUCCAGAGCUCAACUCGGAAACUGCUUCGCAUACUGGCAGGCUUGAGGAAUGCAGAGGUAAGUAGAAUUCCUGGUGUAGCGGUGACAUGCAUUGAUAUCAGGAGGAAUACCCAUGGCGAAGGCAGCUUACUGGGCAUUAUCUGACGCUGAGGCGCGAAAAGCGUGGGGGAGCAAACAGG
rnacentral:rRNA from 1 species